GGCAUCAGUGACAUAACAAUGCAAGUGCCUGGCUGCACCUUGACUUCCACAGACCGAAGAUCUCUGAGCAACUCUGGAACUUCACUCCAGCUUUGUUCACUCUACUCAUCUCUCUGGUUAAUCCUCUUCAUAAACAUAGCUUUUAUUCCCUUGUAACCACUGCCAGGCUAGAGGAGAGCAUCCUCCUUAUUGACCAUCAUCAUGAAGCAUAGGACGGUGAUGAUGUACAUGGAGAUAGGCUGCUUUGUGUCUGGCUGGCUGGAUUCUGGUGAGCUCCACCCUGGCUAUAGAGUACUGGACCUGGUCUGAAGUGGGCAGCGUGGUGCUCACCACCAGCAACUACUCCUCUAACCUCUGGAAGGACUGUGUCUCAGACUCAACGGGGGUGUCCGACUGCAAAUAGUACCCCUCCAUGCUGGGACUACCAGUAAGAUCAGAGUCUGUGGAUCCCAAUUUCAAGGCACAGAAAGCAGCGGUUUUUAUUGGCUGGGGAGGCUCGCUCUUGCUCAUCACCGGUGGUUUCUUCUCUGGAAAGGAGGGUCUACGCUCAACGUAACACUUUCCACAAUAUUCCUGCUUCACUCGAAAGACAAUAGAUUGCAUCAAAGGAAUAUUUUUUGUGUCGGAUAUAUGUUCAUCAUCUCACAAUUCUCUUGCUCCGUCUUCCAGUUGAAAGAAAAGGCCUCGCAGACUUAACUCCUAUGCCACAGCUCGGACCAGACGCACAUACAUGAUGCCAAACUCUUCCAGACUGACUCCAAUGCCACAAUUGGUCCAAGGGAGCAGAGGUGGCAGAAGGAUCAGGACAACAAGGACCACUGGGGCGAUUUAGUUUGAGCUGCAGUAGCUGCUGUACUGCAGGAAAUACACUGCUUCAUAUCAUUAGUCGUUAGUUACCAUGAAAAC